rnacentral:rRNA from 1 species
AGUGAACGCUGGCGGUAGGCCUAACACAUGCAAGUCGAACGGCAGCACAGUAAGAGCUUGCUCUUACGGGUGGCGAGUGGCGGACGGGUGAGGAAUACAUCGGAAUCUACUUUUUCGUGGGGGAUAACGUAGGGAAACUUACGCUAAUACCGCAUACGACCUACGGGCGAAAGCAGGGGAUCUUCGGACCUUGCGCGAUCGAAUGAGCCGAUGUCGGAUUAGCUAGUUGGCGGGGUAAAGGCCCACCAAGGCGACGAUCCGUAGCUGGUCUGAGGGGAUGAUCAGCCACACUGGAACUGAGACACGGUCCAGACUCCUACGGGAGGCAGCAGUGGGGAAUAUUGGACAAUGGGCGCAAGCCUGAUCCAGCCAUACCGCGUGGGUGAAGAAGGCCUUCGGGUUGUAAAGCCCUUUUGUUGGGAAAGAAAAGCAGCAGGUUAAUACCCCGCUGUUCUGACGGUACCCAAAGAAUAAGCACCGGCUAACUUCGUG